AAAUUGAAGAGUUUGAUCAUGGCUCAGAUUGAACGCUGGCGGCAGGCCUAACACAUGCAAGUCGAACGGUAACAGGAAGAAGCUUGCUUCUUUGCUGACGAGUGGCGGACGGGUGAGUAAUGUCUGGGAAACUGCCCGAUGGAGGGGGAUAACUACUGGAAACGGUAGCUAAUACCGCAUAACGUCGCAAGACCAAAGAGGGGGACCUUCGGGCCUCUUGCCAUCGGAUGUGCCCAGAUGGGAUUAGCUAGUAGGUGGGGUAACGGCUCACC
rnacentral:rRNA from 1 species